CACGUAGGGCGCGAGCGUUGUCCGGAAUUAUUGGGCGUAAAGAGCUCGUAGGCGGCCUGUUGCGUCCGCUGUGAAAGCCCGGGGCUUAACCCCGGGUCGGCAGUGGAUACGGGCAGGCUAGAGGUAGGUAGGGGAGAACGGAAUUCCUGGUGUAGCGGUGAAAUGCGCAGAUAUCAGGAGGAACACCGGUGGCGAAGGCGGGUCUCUGGGCCGAUACUGACGCUGAGGAGCGAAAGCGUGGGGAGCAAACGGG
rnacentral:rRNA from 1 species